GACGAACGCUGGCGGCGUGCUUAACACAUGCAAGUCGAACGAAGUGGCGAACGGGUGAGUAACGCGUAAUAAACCUGCCCUUCAGAGGGGGAAAACAGGUGGAACCGACUGCUAAUACCGCAUACUGAAUGAGGAGAUUGCGGAGGAGUAGCUAGUUGGAGGGGUAAAGGCUCACCAAGGCGAUGAUCAGUAGCCGGUCUGAGAGGAUGAACGGCCACAUUGGGACUGAGACACGGCCCAGACUCCUACGGGAGGCAGCAGUGGGGAAUCGUCCGCAAUGGACGAAAGUCUGACGGAGCAACGCCGCGUGAGUGAUGACGGCCUUCGGGUUGUAAAGCUCGGUUAAUCGGGACGCGGUACCGGAAUAGAUAGCCACGGCUAACUACGUGCCAGCAGCCGCGGUAAUAC
rnacentral:rRNA from 1 species